ensembl:lncRNA
AGCAAGUUGAAAUCCAUGUGUCCACUGCUUCCAGCUGUGCGCCAGUUUUUGUGCUGAUGAACCACAGAAGGCCUCCCUCAGCAGUAUCUUCAAGUGCAGCUCUGCUUGGAGAGAGCUGAGGUGGCACCAAGCGAGACAGCAUUUCUUCAUGGCAAAACACAGCAUGAAAAACAUGAAGCUGGUUCUACUGUUGGAUCUCUGGUCCUGAAACAGACAGAAGAGAGAGUUAAUAUCCUUCUAUAAAGGAUAUAGGUUUGAUUUUCAGCUUGGAUAUUAGGGAGAUUUUCUUCUCAGGGAGUAGUGAGGCAUUGGCACAGGUUGCCCAGGGAGGUGGUGGAGUCACUGUCCCUGGAGGUGUUCAAGGAAAGAGCCUUCCUCAGGGAC